rnacentral:rRNA from 1 species
CCUACGGGUGGCUGCAGUGGGGAAUAUUGGACAAUGGGGGCAACCCUGAUCCAGCGAUGCCGCGUGGGUGAAGAAGGCCUUCGGGUUGUAAAGCCCUUUAGGUUGGGAAGAAGGGUAAGUGGUGCAUAGCCAAUUACUUUGACGGUACCAACAGAAUAAGCACCGGCAAACUCUGUGCCAGCAGCCGCGGUAAUACAGAGGGUGCAAGCGUUAAUCGGAGUUACUGGGCGUAAAGGGCGCGUAGGCGGUGCAGUGUGUGUGAUGUGAAAGCCCCG